rnacentral:rRNA from 1 species
GGCAAAUCCCNGAAAUAAGUCCCAGUUCGGAUUGCAGUCUGCAACUCGACUGCAUGAAGCUGGAAUCGCUAGUAAUCGCGAAUCAGCAUGUCGCGGUGAAUACGUUCCCGGGUCUUGUACACACCGCCCGUCACACCAUGGGAGUCGGAAAUGCCCGAAGCCAGUGACCCAACCUUUAAGGAGGGAGCUGUCGAAGGCAGGUCUGGUAACUGGGGUGAAGUCGUAACAAGGUAUC